rnacentral:rRNA from 1 species
UACAGAGGGUGCAAGCGUUACUCUGAUUUACUGGGCGUAAAGCGUGCGUAGGCGGUUCGCUAAGUCGGUUGUGAAAUCCCUGGGCUUAACCUGGGAACUGCAGUCGAUACUGGUGGACUAGAGUACGGUAGAGGGUGGCGGAACUCCGGGUGUAGCGGUGAAAUGCGUAGAUAUCCGGAAGAACACCGAUGGCGAAGGCAACCACCUGGGCCUGUACUGACGCUGAGGUACGAAAGCGUGGGGAGCAAACAGG